UAUGUGGUUUUGGAAGGUAUUUUCAGAAGCAAAAGGUGGGAUUUGCCGAAUAAGCCUCAUCAGUUGAAGCCCUGUACGAGGACUUAUGCCUGUGUGAUAGGGUUUACAACCUCUCCUCCUCCUCCUGCACCCCCUGAAAUUGGCUUUGAGUGGGUUGUGAGAAUCCCUAAAACAGUUCUUCAAUGUAUUUUAAGGUCAAUACCCAAUGCAGAACUCCAAAGCAGAGAUCUUUUUGAUGUGGUGAAGAGACAAGCUACUGUUCAGUUAAAAUAGGCUAAGAGUAAGCGAGUCUCUUUGACAAUGGAAUUUUCUACAGUGAAACCGUUUUCUCUCUUGCAGUCUGAUAGCCUUUCUUUUGGAAUACAGCAGAAUGGUCAUUCACUGUAUGAGUUGUAAGCCAAGCAUCCCCCAGUUUAUGCCACACCUCAGCCAUGAAUUCAGUAAGUGGCCUUAAGCGAGCCAUCGCCUGAUCCUUACAUGGCUUGAUCACUUUCUAAGUGUUAUUCAAUAUUGUUAAAUAUCUAGCAUAUGUUAAGAAAGCCACUAAGAGCAUCAGAGUAGAUUUUUGUCAUCUUGCAGAAUGGAAGCCACGAGCACAAUUGUAUCUGCUACUCCUAACUGAAUGCCGAAUGAUUUCAAUGAAUAACAAAUAAAUUUUUGGACGGUUAGUAAGAUAUUCAUAGACAAAUUGCAAGCAAAGUGAUUAGAAGUACCGAAUUAUUCACUGCAAAUUACUUGCCCAACUCUUGUUAAUUAUCUGCAAGUAGCAAUUCCUGCUCUAUCAUUUGCAGUCUCCUAAAAGGGAAAUUAGAAUCCAAUGAAUGGGCAAGAGGGAAAGCCAGCAAGUUUAAAAGCCUCUCAAGAAAAUCAAGAUAUUAUGAAAUAAAUAACAGCCUAAAACAUUCAGAUAGCUUUGGCAAGGGCUUGGUUUCUAAGGUGUAAAGUUCCUGGAUAUGCCUUUUAAUAAUCUGUCAGUGGUAAUGUGUGUGUUCAUAUAAAAUAAUGAUUUAUUGAUGUUGUGUUGAAUAGUAUGGAACACUUUUUGCUACUUUGUUUUAUAGUUGACAUAUGAACUCCAUCUACUACCUUUGCCAUGAGUGUAUAUAUCUGAAUCAGUAGCGUAAAAAAGAUGGCACUGAAUCACAAUGUGCAUACAGUGGUGCCCCGCAAGACGAAUGCCUCACAAGACGGAAAACCC
rnacentral:lncRNA from 1 species